rfam:Pteropus alecto contig82195, whole genome shotgun sequence.
GUCUACAGCCAUGCAACCCUGGAUACACCCGAUCUCAUCUGAUCUCGGAAGCUAAGCAGGGUCAGACCUGGUUAGUACUUGGAUGGGAGACCACUUAGAAGACCAGGUGCUGUAGGCU